rnacentral:rRNA from 1 species
CGUUUGACCUCGGAUCAGGUAGGGAUACCCGCUGAACUUAAGCAUAUCAAUAAGCGGAGGAAAAGAAACCAACAGGGAUUGCCCUAGUAACGGCGAGUGAAGCGGCAACAGCUCAAAUUUGAAAUCUGGCUCUUUUAGAGUCCGAGUUGUAAUUUGCAGAGGGCGCUUUGGCUUUGGCAGCGGUCCAAGUUCCUUGGAACAGGACGUCACAGAGGGUGAGAAUCCCGUACGUGGUCGCUAGCUAUUGCCGUGUAAAGCCCCUUCGACGAGUCGAGUUGUUUGGGAAUGCAGCUCUAAAUGGGAGGUAAAUUUCUUCUAAAGCUAAAUAUUGGCCAGAGACCGAUAGCGCACAAGUAGAGUGAUCGAAAGAUGAAAAGCACUUUGGAAAGAGAGUCAAACAGCACGUGAAAUUGUUGAAAGGGAAGCGCUUGCAGCCAGACUUGCUUGCAGUUGCUCAUCCGGGCUUUUGCCCGGUGCACUCUUCUGCAGGCAGGCCAGCAUCAGUUUGGGCGGUGGGAUAAAGGUCUCUGACACGUUCCUUCCUUCGGGUUGGCCAUAUAGGGGAGACGUCAUACCACCAGCCUGGACUGAGGUCCGCGCAUCUGCUAGGAUGCUGGCGUAAUGGCUGUAAGCGGCCCGUCUUGAAACACGGACCAAGGAGUCUAACAUCUAUGCGAGUGUUUGGGUGUCAAGCCCGAGCGCGUAAUGAAAGUGAACGGAGGUGGGAACCCGCAAGGGUGCACCAUCGACCGAUCCUGAAGUUUACGGAAGGAUUUGAGUAAGAGCAUGGCUGUUGGGACCCGAAAGAUGGUGAACUAUGCUUGAAUAGGGUGAAGCCAGAGGAAACUCUGGUGGAGGCUCGCAGCGGUUCUGACGUGCAAAUCGAUCGUCAAUUUGGGCAUAGGGGCGAAAGACUAAUCGAACUAUCUAGUAGCUGGUUCCUGCCGAAGUUUCCCCUCAGGAUAGCAGUAACGUAUUCAGUUUUUAUGAGGUAAAGCGAAUGAUUAGAG